UCAAAAUUAUACCCAAGUGUGGCAUAUUGUUCAUACCGAGUGUGUUAUAUUAGUUUUGAAGUGAUAAAACGCGUGAUAGCUAACUUUGUUUUAUAUAGGAUCAUUGACGGACGAGCCGGAUGCUGAUACUUUGCGAGAUCUCCUAUUGCUAUUUCUUAAUAUCCGCGAUACAACCAGUACUGUAAUCGUGACAUAAUAACAGGGAAAAUAAUGGAGCCCACCAAGGAACCAUUGGUCUAUGCAUGGGGUGGCAAUACUGGCAACCCAUACGAAGAAGAUUUAGCUUUGGUGCUGUUUGAGCGAGCAUCUUUCGGGAAAUCAGAAUUCAAACUUGCAUCAGAAAUGAAGGACGCUGGAAAAUUUGACGACGUAGUCAUAAUUUUCGAAGAACAGAAGAAUAUGUUGUUAAUCCAAACCAAACACAAACGCAACUCAGAUGAUACAAAACCAUUAUCGUUCGACAAUUUUUUUCCGAAGAAGUUCCAGUUUAAUCAAGAUUUUGCUCUUGUGAAGUACAUACAGUCAUAUUUAGAUGUUAUUCAAAAAGAUGAGUUCAAGAAGUAUAAGAAACGAUUUUUUAUCCUAACCAAUAAACCAUUAGACGUUAGCGAUGAACAGCUUAAGAAGUUGGUGAACAUCGAGAUCUGUGAACAAAGUGAAGUGAACCCAAUAAUGAAGUUAGCUAAAUCCGACAAUUGCUACAUAAGAUUCAGACCAAAAGAGGAUAACAUUGAAGAAUUACUGAAGUUGAUGAACUCUGAAAUAACUGUCAUUAGGGAUGCGAUCAUUGAACUCUUCAAACGUGGAAAAGCUUCGGACAUAUUGACGAAGUACAAAACACCAUUGCAGAAGAUCCUGGCAGAUUUAAUUAUGAAUUCAAAUAGUGAUAACUCAAACA